UACGGAAGGUCCAGGCGUUAUCCGGAUUUAUUGGGUUUAAAGGGAGCGUAGGCUGGAGAUUAAGUGUGUUGUGAAAUGUAGACGCUCAACGUCUGAAUUGCAGCGCAUACUGGUUUCCUUGAGUACGCACAACGUUGGCGGAAUUCGUCGUGUAGCGGUGAAAUGCUUAGAUAUGACGAAGAACUCCGAUUGCGAAGGCAGCUGACGGGAGCGCAACUGACGCUUAAGCUCGAAGGUGCGGGUAUCAAACAGGAUUAGAUACCCUGGUAGUCAAGGGCG
rnacentral:rRNA from 1 species